rnacentral:lncRNA from 1 species
CUGAUUUCCUGCUGUGUUCUUUUCCUGUCUUGCAGACUUGGAUUCUAGAGAAUGUGUCUAAAAACCUAGAUCGUCUUUACGCCCAGCACAUCUUGACUUUGCAGGAACUUCAGAACCUCAGUCUAUAUGUGGAAAAAGUGCAUGACCUUGUGAAUUUCCGAAUAAAAAAUCUUCAGAAAAAAUCUGAAAAGACAGCAAUAGAAAAGGCAGAUGUGUCAGUGGUUUUAGAAUUAAAGGCAGAACAGGUGAGUACAAAAAUGGAAAUGUAACUGCUUGUUUUUAGAAAUAUUCCAGAUGCUUCAAAGGCAAUUAGACUAACUCACACUAGCAAAAGCUAAAAAAACACAGUGAACUACCUGAUAGUAAAAAUUAUAUUUCUGCAAAUAUAUAUGUGACAAAUUGGUGAUGAAUGAUUAAAACACCACAGUAAUGAAUGUUACAUGAAUGGUAUUAUCUUGUACCCAGUAACACAAUCUAUGUAUAAAUCUUUAAUUUUG